CGCGGGUCUGCCCAUUCUGUCCCUGCAGUCUGCAUGUAAACACGCUCGCGCGAGUCAGGCGGAAGUGCCGCACAACAGCUUAUCAAACACGUGACUCUGAACGGCAAGCCAGCGAUAGGCUUGAAGCUUGUCUGCGGGUGAUGGAGUCUCUCUGGCUCUGCGGCAGCUGCAGGAAGCCUUGCAUGGCCCUGAGGUUCACCAAAAGAGACUGAGAUGCACACCGUGGGUCCUCUUCUUUGCGCAAAAUCUCUGAAAAUUUGGUCCUCUUGUAGUGUUUGUACCACUGGCCGAACUCCUGACAUCUCGCAGCAGAGAUGCUGGCAUAAACAAAGAAAUGUAUUCACAUUUGGAACAACUUGAAGAACAAAUUCUGUGUGCUCUGAUCGCUUCCUCUCUGAGGGAGGUGCAUCACCAUGUUCCACCAUACAGAACACAGAUACCUUUGGGUUUGACGGCGUGUGGUGAUGUUUGUUUGGAGGCCAGGCUCGGAGGUGCGACACCAGCUACAGGGGGACCGUGCCUCAUAAGGGGACCCUAGCUGACCUCCAUGUGAACCUCAGGAUGACAAAUAAUUUAAAAUGAAGAGCAUUGCAUUUAAGAAAAAAAAUAUCUUUCUUAUUAUUUGUACAUUUAAUUGAAUAAGCUCUUUUCCAGUUAAUGUCAAGCUCUGAAAUAUUUUAAUGGGUAGAAAUGUUUGGUUUUUGUGGGGGGCCUUUGAACAUUGUUGAAUACAGUGGGGGGCCUUGGAGUCAAAAAGGUUGAGGUCUCCUAGUUUAAAAGCAGUUCACCAGCUAAACAAUAUAAACAGCCAGAAUAAUAGCAGAAUAAUAAGUAUGCUUGCAAAGCGAAGCAUCACUAUAAAAAAGAUGCUGCAGGGUUUUUUAAUAUGGAAAAUUUCAGCUUGCUACAGCUCUCCUAUAUGAAGGAUGCUAUAUAUUUUAGAGACUCAGAAAACCCAGGAUAUACAUAAUUCAUGCAUAAAUGCAAUGAAUUUGCACAUGCUAAAAGGAUUUGAGUAUGCACAUAUCAUAUGUUCGAAGUACAUAAGCCAAUUGUUUUUAUUAUUAUUUUUUUCAUUUCUAUAUAUUUUAAACAUUAUGUUUUUGUUAUAGAGAAGUAAAAUGACUUAACAGUCUCGUUUGCCAGAAAUACAAAAAUAUCUUACAUCCUCUCGGACCCCAAACGUAUAAACAGCAGUCAUGGGUUAAAGCUAUGUUUAUUGAUCAGUUUCUGUUUAUAAAGCACUGCUACAGGUGCCUAAUCUGUCCUUUAUUCCUGCCAUCGUCUAAAUAAUCUCGCCUUUCUUUA